rnacentral:rRNA from 1 species
CAGCAGCAGCCACGGUAAUACGUAGGUGGCAAGCGUUGUCCGGAAUUAUUGGGCGUAAAGGGCUCGCAGGCGGUUUCUUAAGUCUGAUGUGAAAGCCCCCGGCUCAACCGGGGAGGGUCAUUGGAAACUGGGAAACUUGAGUGCAGAAGAGGAGAGUGGAAUUCCACGUGUAGCGGUGAAAUGCGUAGAGAUGUGGAGGAACACCAGUGGCGAAGGCGACUCUCUGGUCUGUAACUGACGCUGAGGAGCGAAAGCGUGGGGAGCGAACAGGAUUAGAUACCCCUGUAGUCCCUGUCUCUUAUAC